ACAAUUUCACACCAAUUUAACAAACUAUACACAAGUAUAAGUGAUGGAAUAAAUUACAGACUCUUUUACAAUUAUGACAACUGGAAAGUUAAACACAAUAGUAAAUAGAGGCUCCAUAAAAGUAUACACAAGAAUAAUUGAUGGAACAAAUUGCAAACUCCUGUACAAUUAUGACUUAUAAUUGUAGCUAUAACUAGAAAGUCAAGCACAAUAGAGGCUACACAAGAAGUAUACACAAGUAUAAUUGAAGGAACAAAUUGCAAACUCCUGUACAAUUAAGAUUUAUAACUGUAACUAUAACUGGAAGGCAAACACAAUAGAGGCUACAUAAGAAGUAUACACAAGUAUAAUUGAAGGAACAAAUUGCAAACUCCUGUACAAUUAAGAUUUAUAAUUGUAACUAUAACUGGAAAGUCAAACACAAUAGAGGCUACACAAGAAGUAUACACAAGUAUAACUGAAGGAACAAAUUGCAAACUCCUGUACAAUUAAGAUUUAUAAUUGUAACUAUAACUGGAAAGUCAAACACAAUAGAGGCUACACAAGAAGUAUACACAAGUAUAACUGAAGGAACAAAUUGCAAACUCCUGUACAAUUAUGCCUCAUAAUUGUAGCUAUAACUAGAAAGUCAAGCACAAUAGAGGCUGCACAAGAAGUAUACACAAGUAUAACUGAAGGAACAAAUUGCAAACUCCUGUACAAUUAUGCCUCAUAAUUGUAGCUAUAACUAGAAAGUCAAGCACAAUAGAGGCUGCACAAGAAGUAUACACAAGUAUAACUGAAGGAACAAAUUGCAAACUCCUGUACAAUUAUGCUUCAUAAUUAUAGCUAUAACUAGAAAGUCAAGCACAAUGGUUCCACAAAUUAAAGAUAGGCUUCCUAGGUUCAUAGAACAGAUCUACAUAAAUGACACACAUUUUCCAAUUCAGUGAUUUUACUAAUUUCAAACUGAUACACUUAAAGAUAUUUUGUACAAUGUCGUAUUUGUUCCGUCAAUUGUAUACUGUUUGUACUGAGCUGUGAUGAAAGAUGGAAGACCUGUAGCAUAUCGGCCGGCAGCGAAAUAACUUCAAAGGAAUCGCUCAUCAACACGACAAAACUGUCGCAGCACUCCCAGGAUGUGGGGCUGCAGGACUCUAAGUCGGAAUCGCUGUAAGAGUCCGCCUUCUCGCCGGCGACAAAGUCCGGCUCCAGGUCCGAACGGGACGAGCAACUUGCCGACUCAAUGGUGAACCUAGAUCACUGUAAUCCCCCUCAACGAGAUUCACGGUCCGUGUAUCAUCGAACGAACUCUUAGGAGUAUAUUCACAUGUUUUCACUUAGGUCACUGUUCACGUUUUAAAUUGUAUGAAAUAUUUCUCGCACCGGUAUUAGGAAGACUUGUUUAUUAAAAACCGACCUUGAGUCGUGUAAUCGCACGAUCACGAAGAAACUAAACGUGGUACCGAGAAGGCUGUGCCACUAGGUGCAACCCCGACUGUGUUCGAUGGACAACUGGAGGCGGGGUGUGUGCUACCCCCAUUGGGCUGGAGAACCAGCCCUCUGGCUGCAACAUCCCCUACCCCUCUUCGCUUGCCAGGAUAGCCAUCGUGUCUCAAGGACAACACCCCUUCGACGGGUGGCUCAAUAAGCUAUGACAUGUAAUUGUACGAAAUUCGACUUGGACGUCAUACGAGUGAACCUUGAUACUCUCAGAAAUCCCUUUCAUGGACCAAGACCAGGGUGGAGCAAUUUCUAACGUGAUGACCUACUAAUCUGAUGUAUAUGAACCUCAAAUGUACUACAUAUCAGUAUGCUGAUCAAAGGGGAAUGAUAGGCAGAUCUUUGAGAUCCUGGACCAAGACAACAUGAUGAUCUAAUCUGACGUAUACCUAAUCUAUGUAUACUACAUAUCAGUGUACUGAUCAAAGAAGAAUGAUAGGCAGAUCGGAAGCAUGGUGUGAUAGACACCCGGUAACGAGGGUUCUGAUAGGAAACGAUCCUGAAAGCAUUCCUUGGAAUUAAGGACGUACACGCCCAUGUCGAAUACAAAAGGUUCACGGAAAGUGGCAUCUGACCAAUUACCUUGAUUGGCUAAAUAGGGUCAAUAUUCAAAGUAUGCUGGAAGAGGGGAAAAAAACGUUAACGAGGCUAAUAGUCUAAUAAACCGACUGAUGAAUUCGAGACACGCACGCUGCUGUCGGCAGUGUGCCAGAGAUUCGAUAAGCUUGUCAUGGUUGCUUAUAAAAAUCCUUUCAAAUUUCUCACUGAUGUGUCCGCUAUUAACAUAAUACUGUUGCCAAUACAUUGCAUUCAGUUUUGAGGUGUAGAAGAUGGUACAUGUAACAAAUUCUUCAUUGAAAAACAGCAGGAUCGACCGAUAACCGAAUGUACGUUCAUCGUGCAGUUGCAAUGCCAGCUUUGAUGGGAUUGGUAUGAUAAUGGAAGCAUAGAUUAACACACGGUGAAGGUCAAACGACCCUCAUUCUCGCACACCCGAGCAACCCUUCCGGCAACCAACCCCUUGUGACAUUUAAUAACCAGUGACACACUCAUGAUAAACUAACGACAAUAAACUAGCAACAAACUUAUACUAGAGAUAAUUAUGGCAACUAAGCUGCAAUUUUUUAUGGAAGAAGAAUCUUCUUUACAGAAGAAGGUGCUUUAUUAAGCAGCCAAGGAAGCAUUCAAUGCGGAAAUUGAAACGAAUAUACGUCAGGAUGUCUUUAUAAUAAGUUUCACCGAAGGCAGCAUCGUUAUCACAGAUUUAUAGCCUUGUAAUAUUCUGGCCCUAAUUACCGUCUGUGAGAAAAAAGAUAGUCAUUGGUAUAAUGAAUAUCCCACAUAAAUCAUGGCGUCACCAGCGAAAUCGCUCACGUGCUAGCCUUUUAACGAGCCUCGUGAAUUCCGUUCAAGGUCGCCUGGCUUCUUUAUUGCAACUAUCUGGAAGGCCUUUCGCCUCGUUACUUUACACGUGAAAUUGGUGCGAUUGUGUCACAGUAACAACAAAGUGACCUAGAGUUUAAUAAUUCUCUUACAAAAUGGACCUGAAGAGGAAAAUCAGAAUUUUUUGGACGUUACAGAUAUUCUACAGAUUCUGAGUUACAUUUUUUAAUUGUCAAUUUCUGUGAAGCUUGUAAUCAGAGUGUUCCCAUCAAACUGAUCAAACGUCUCAAGACCACCUGCUCACGAAGGUGUGUCUAAUAAUAAAUAACCCUCUAAAAAUAAUCCUUACCUCGACGUCAACGGAAUAAUAUCGAGAGAUUAGAUCGACGAUUCUCGCGGUAAUUACUAGGGUUUGUUGGACAAAAUUAAGGUUCAUAACUGCUCUAGCGAGCAUUGCGUGUUCCUGUUCACUAAACCGAGCAGCAUAAUUCGCAUUAACGAGGAAAAAAGAGGAUGAAGAGGAACUCCAUUCAGAGUACGUUUGCAUUGCAAUUUAUCAAACUGUCCCUGUAAAUUACGAUGCAAUUGCUCGCACGUGUAACUGAAUGCAUAUCUUGGUUGCUAGGCCAAGGUCACGGUGCAACAAUCUUCCACUUGGAGGUAUGCAGUACCGAUCGAAUGAAGGUGUAACGAAAGUACGCGUGGGUGCACCCUCCCUGGGUUCACCAUGGGUGCUACAACCCUUAACCUUUUCACGCAUUUACUCGGUCGUCACCCUCUGUUUAUUCAACGUACUACACUCUGUUACAUAUUCUUUUUAUACCCGGAAACAUCUUGUCACAGUUGCAUUUAACGUGCUAGUUCUCAAGAUGAUGAAAUUACUAGAAUGUGAAUGUCAUAAGAAAAAUACCAAGAGGCUGUCAAGAACACUUCAACCUUCAAAUAUUCUCAUGUUAUAUUCCUGAAGAAUUUACAUUUGUAACAUUCUGAAGUGUAAUUGACAAACAAUGCUUGAUAGUAGCCUUUGAAAAUUUUCCACUACAUCAGAAUACAUAAUAAUGUAUGAGUUGAAAUAAUCAUUUAAGGAUUGGAGAGUUUACGCCACCCUAUAAAUUGGAAUAGCGAUACAAAGGGGUGAAUAUCCUUCUUGACCAUUUACCUUGAUGAUAAGAGAACGUAGACGGUCGAAAGGUCGCUUCCCUCUAACUCUUCACCUUUGGAAACAGGUCAUCGACUAAGUAUUUGAUCGUAAUUCGAAACAAGUUCAUCAGCCUUGAAAGAUGUCAUGAAACAAUGACACCCGAAUUUAAAGCAAAAACUGUAUAUUCACAAUUUCCAUAUGCCAUUUGAUGCAUGCAAUUGGUACGAUAAUUGGCCAGUGAUAAGGCCCUAUGAUAAGCUGUUUACGUCGCGAACGUUAAUUCGGCCUGGUCGAUUAACACGAAACAUUUUUUCUUUCCUUCUUUUAUCAACGAUCUCACGUGGCACAUAAGCUUGAUUUUUUGCGACGAUCGCUGGGCUUAUUAUUAGUUUCGUGCUCGGAAGAGGACUCAGAAUACAAUGAUUUGAAAACCAUUAAGAAAUGCAUAAUUCAAACUUAAUUUAACUCAGCCAUUUUGUGACAUGAUUAGGAAAUGAAGAGUGCUCAGAAUGUCAAUACAAUAAUUUACAGACCAUUAGGAAAUGCAUACUUCAAACCUAAUUUACCUGAGCCAUUUUGUAACAUUGGGAAAUGUACAUACACAUACUAAAAAUGUACACAUGUACAACCUUCUACAGGAGGUGCGUGACGAGGGAGAGUGCCACGCAAGGUGUAACACAGGGUAGUUGUCCUGCGAGGGUUCUGCGACAAGCGUGCCACGGGUUAAAAGGCAACGAGUAACACAGAGACGGGGAUGCCGCAGUGAUUUACAUAUCGUCGAUCGGUACACGUCAUCCAACUACGUGGUAUACGCACCAGAAACGAUCGUGGCACGACCGUUUUCUCGAAACGACGGCUAAUCGACCUACCGAAAUUCAUUUCGUUUCGAAUACGUCUCAUGCAUAUUCAGCCCGACAACCGGGGCGAUAAAUGAACAGACCUACGGAUCGCAAUGCGAACACGAAUCUGCGAAUCGCGAUAAAACGGGGAAAGAAAGUAGGUGAAUGUAUUGUUCAACAUUACACGUGAAAUGUACGACGUUUCACCUCAAUUUUUCUUCCGAUUAAGGAAGCACCGAGACCCGGUGUUUUGGAACAUAUUUAAUUUUCUGAAGCUAUAAUUAAAUCACCUACUUUAUCGCCCCAGUGACAUUCUUUUCUAAUAAGACAUGCUCUAAGGCUAUAACUUAUGCACGUAAUACUUUCUACAUUUAGUUCCGUUAUUACCAUUUCUUUUGCAGGCGAGGAUAUUAAAUCCAGAUGCCGUAGAUAUACCAGUGCUGAAAUGAUGUAUACUCGUAAUUCAGAGAGCACGAAACAUGUUUCACAGAUCCAAUCACAAUAAUACUAAUGCAUAAUACGUACAAUCGCAAAUGCGUGCUAAACCGUAACGGUGGAAUUGAAAAGAAUUGAAACUCUUCCAUUGGAAUAUUGUGGUAACAACCAGUAAUUGUUAAGCAAUUUAAUAUCAGUAGGAUCAACGUACUGUCAAUUAAACUCGAUUACCGACAGACACGCACUCUUUCGAGCAACAACGUUAGCCAGAAAAAGAUAUCGAAAAAAUUUACGAGCAGACUUGUUUAUCGGUGCAAAUAUUUUUCGUCCACCACCUUACGUGCAAUUAAUCUGCAACCGGGCAUGCAACAUGGUCACCGGUCAAAAAACUGAUAAGAACGGGACAAAAUUUUAAGGUGAACCUUGUCAGAUUAAAACUAAGUAACCUGUAAUAUCCUUGGAACACGUACAAUCGGUAAUGAAGGAUCAUUUAAAGAUAAAGACUAUAGAUGACAGAAAAUAUAACCUCUUCGCAUAGACAUGAAGUAUUGAGAUGAGUGUAAAGCAAAAUAUACCUAUGGGACUUUGGAAUUUCGUGACGCAUCUAGGGCAGAUACAAAACUCUGUCUCCUUCGUGACUCCGGUGGCUGACACGAAUUUCAAGUUGACCAGCGAUUAGUUCUUUCUAGACCGCGUUAUCCUCUUAUGAAUUUACGUGGCGACCGGGUGAAAUGUUCUGAAAGAAAGGAGGACUCGUUAUCGCCGGCUUACACCGCGAUAUGAAAAUGAAGAACGAGCAUGUAACGUGCGUGACGGAUCGUCCUGUGAAAUGUGUCGCGCCGAUUACAAAAGAAACAAUCGUGGCUAUUCACGCGGCAGACCUCAAUGGCUAAUUUGUUCACGUCGUGAAACGAUAAAGAAAUGUCACAAAAUAUUGGGAAUAUUAUUUUGCUGAAAAGGUGAUCGGGUAAAGAAACCUGAUGCGUCAUUUCGGCAAUUUAUGACCCGUUUGCUGCAAUCAGAACAAUCCUACAGCGGGAAUAAUUAAUGACAUGUUGAAUUCUAAAUUUAAAUUUGAUGAUACACUGUUCAUUGAGAAGGUCAUGUUUCAAGCUGAGCAGAAAAAGCUGACAUGAAGCGAGCGAUCAAAUUCGCGGAGACAUCAAUGCCCGACUUGUCAUCGACCUGUGUCACUGUUGCGCGUAGUACACGCGUUUCUUUUGACGUGAUCUAAAUCAGGGAUCCGUCGACGAUGAUGAACGUCUUGAAUUUCGUCGUGGAGUUUCUACAGAAGGAAUAGAAACGGUUUGUGAAUCGUCCGUAUGGAGAAGUUCGUGUUUAUUGAUCCCUUGCGGGCUGACCAACGGUCAAUGAGAUACGGUCUCUCCCUUGGUAGCCGCCCUACGCCUCGGAGGCCCUGCAUCGGUCUCCUUAGCGGAACCGACCCACCGCCCACCCUACAACACGUGAUUCAUAUCUUCGAGUCGUGGAAAAUUAGCGACAAAAAUGAUUUCGGAGAAUCUGGAUUGGGUUAUUUCGUACUGACUCAACUUUGAAUUUAUAAUUACUCUUGAUUUCAAGUGAAAUGUUAUAGCUUCACAUGCUAGAUUGUUAGAAUUGUAUGAGAAAAUAUUCUAGUUAAAAUACUCAAGGCAACAUGUCCUUAUAAAGAGGCUACAAGUAUAAAGUACAACCAUAAUAUUUCAGCAGCAAGUAGUCAUUAAAUGGUGUUAAAUUGUUGCAUAUAAAAUGACUCAUAUAAUAACAUAAAAUGUGAAGGUACGCUUUUGAUGUCACAUGAAAUUCUGUUAUAGCUUGACAUGCUAAGAUUGUCAGAACUGUAAUAUAUGAGAAAAUAUUCUAGUUAAAAUACUCAAGGCAACAUGUCCUUAUAAAGAGGCUACAAGUAUAAAGUACAACCAUAGUAUUUCAGCAGCAAGUAGUCAUUAAAUUGUACUAGAUUGUUGCAUAUGAGAUGACUCAUAUAAUAAUAUAAAAUGUAAAGGUACACUUUUGAUUUCAUGUAAAAAGCUGUUAUAGCUUGACAUGCUAAGAUUGUCAGAACUGUAAUAUAUGAGAAAAUAAUCUAGUUAAAAUAUUCAAGGCAACAUGUCCUUAUAAGGAGGCUACAAGUAUAAAGUACAACCAUAGUAUUUCAGCAGCAAGUAGUCAUUAAAUGGUGUUAGAUUGUUGCAUAUGAAAUGACUCAUAAUAAUAUAAAGUGCAACACGACAAAGACAAGUUUCCUCCGAGGGACAAAGAAAUGUAGGUAGGCCGUAAAUAGGUGAAGAAACAGCACAAUCAGAGGCCACUUAAUGACACAGUGUUUAUCGCGAUGGUAGAAAUGGAUUGAUCGUUACUAUGAAGGAGGUGAAAGUAUGUGGACGGCUGGAACGUAUGCAGGAUAAUAAGACGGUUGUUAAGUAAAAUAGGAUAGUGUACCAUUUCCCAGCAGGACUGGAUCAGGUAGGAGAAGAAGAAUCGAAAACAGGGAGAAAGGAAGCGAUCGCUGCGCAACCGCAGACUCAGUUGUCCAGCCCUUUUCACCCCUCUUACAGACCAACCCUAUGGCAAUACUUGCUCCCACUUUUCGCAUCCCUACCACCAAACCGCAGAUUCACCUAUAUGAGUCGAUCUUCCGUGCCACGUGGCUUUGGUAAACAAUGCUGGAAUCACCUGAUACUGGCAACUGCAGGGAAGAAGUUUUCAUGAAGUUAUCAAUACAGGAAGAACUUCGCUACUCUAAUUCUUAAGGAUUCUGAAUACAUAUCUACCCUUGAGGGACACAAACUAUACUCAGCAUACAGGAUAUGAAGGAAUCACGAUUUCAUAAUCCAGCGUAAUCGACACGUAAAGUCUAUAUAGAACAAUAGGUGUAUAAGCUUUGGCCACUUUACCGGAUUAACGGUUGACCCGGCACGAGAGCCGAUCGAAAUAACGUAUCGUACGUACAUAAAGCCAGGCAGAAACGACGACGAUAUACGUUUAACGAGCGGCUUGGUCACACCUUAAAACCUAGAAAUCAGGUUGGGCGUGGGCCACCGUGCUAUGACGCAACGCAGGUGAAACCAAUCCUUCCUAUCAGCACUUUCAUAAAAAUAAUGAAUAUCCUGUGGCCUUACGGUUGAAUCGGCCUGAAAGGUUUCGCCGGUUAAUUGGCCCAUUUUUCACUGAAUCCUCCAUUGGCCUUACUUUUGAUUCACGAUACCAAAACCUGUCGUAGGCGAUUUAUCGCCUUCUUUCUUUAGAUCUUGUCACCUGAGUUCGACAAUCACGCUAUGCCAUGAUGCAUUGCUUCUAAAAAUGUCGACAUGAAGAAAAAUAUUGGUUAGAGAUUUUCUGAACGUUCAGUACUUUCUGAUGGAUUCAACAAGUCUCUCUAUUCAAUCUUUACAAUAUUGUAUUCAAUCUUUAUAAUUAAUAGUAGCAUCUUUGGAAGGUUGGGUAAUCUACUUCUUGAGGAUUUGAAUACUCUUUUUGGAAAUACCAUUGACUAGCUAGAUCUUAUGGUGUAAGUCCUAGCUAGCUCAUCUAAUUCUUGAAGACCCUCCUGACAGUAAUCAGGCAGAUUGGCGUUGCGUGCGGCCUGCUUAAAUGUUGAUCUGGGCCAGAUACACAAACGUCGUCGACGGCAAAUAUACGCAGUUUUCUUAUAAAUUGCCAUAUCGCAAGGCUGUUAAACUGUGUACGUGUAGUUAGUACGCGUGGCAAUGUUCGGGCACGCAUUUGUGGGAGUCCGUUGUUUUACGUCCACCGGUGGCUCAUGAAUAUUAAGAGUGUAUACAGCCGACUUCUCGGUUUAAUUAUACGAACGAUUAGAGGCAACAGCUACCAAGAGAAUAUUUACUUUUCGCCAUACAAGUCCUUGCACGUGCUGAAUUAUCGCACUCGUAAUGAGAUUGGUUCUCUCGCUCCCGGUGGAGGGGUUGCGUUACCCGAACCGAGAUUCGAUCUACACACACACGCGAUCUUGUGUCUCAAGAGCCUUAUUUCUUCUUCGUGCAAUGUAUCAGAUCGAACGACCCACUUUUCCACAGCGAUUAAGACCCUUUUUUUAUUCCAAGCGAUCUUAAAGGGGCGUAUACUUUACAAUGCGAUCGAAAUGUUGUAUUUCUCGUGGCUUCCGUCACUGACAGGUAACGAGUCUUUGU